rnacentral:rRNA from 1 species
CCUACGGGAGGCUGCAGUGGGGAAUAUUGCACAAUGGGCGCAAGCCUGAUGCAGCCAUGCCGCGUGUGUGAAGAAGGCCUUCGGGUUGUAAAGCACUUUCAGCGGGGAGGAAGGCGGUGAGGUUAAUAACCUCAUCGAUUGACGUUACCCGCAGAAGAAGCACCGGCUAACUCCGUGCCAGCAGCCGCGGUAAUACGGAGGGUACAAGCGUUAAUCGGAAUUACUGGGCGUAAAGCGCACGCAGGCGGUCUGUCAAGUCGGAUGUGAAAUCCCCGGGCUCAACCUGGGAACUGCAUUCGAAACUGGCAGGCUAGAGUCUUGUAGAGGGGGGUAGAAUUCCAGGUGUAGCGGUGAAAUGCGUAGAGAUCUGGAGGAAUACCGGUGGCGAAGGCGGCCCCCUGGACAAAGACUGACGCUCAGGUGCGAAAGCGUGGGGAGCAAACAGGAUUAGAUACCCUGGUAGUC